rnacentral:miRNA from 1 species
GUGCCUGCUAUGUGCCGGGCA